rnacentral:lncRNA from 1 species
GUGGGGUGAAGAACAAGACAUCUCCAUAUUGUACGUAACGAAUGGUGAGCCCGUUUGUACCAAUUGUACAGCGAUCUGAUCAGGGUCAGCCUUGAACAGAGCGAAAGGAUGAAGCAUGACUUAAGUGCUUCAGACUGUUGCAAAGGAUAAAACAAAGGAAAAGCCACAGUUGGCCUAUUGAGUAGCUCCUCAGUGCCACUGCUUGUCUGAGUAUCUACUCCACAAGCUGCCAGGGAUUGUUAGGAGCAACAAUAUUUCAGACUUACUGAGAUGCCUAGAGAAAUACAUCUUUCUCCUUGAGAGGUUUGUUCCAAGCUAAUAGCACUUUCUGCCAGUGAACAUGACUGAAGACAGAGCCAAGAGAAACCUGGUAACUGACAGAAAAUAUCCCAGCAAUGGAUGAAGCAGCAAAUGAAUAAAAUAAUGAAGUGAUAAGUCA